GAAUUGGUGGUGGUACCACCAAAAUUAUGGUACGACGUUUAAUGGAGAAGCUUAUAAGCAGUCAACUUGGUGUUGAGUACAGUUGGAUAGGAUUUAAGAAAAAAAAGAACUUCUCAGUUUUACUCAUAUCCAAAGUACUCAUAGAUGCUGUAUUGGCUGUGCAUAAAAAUUCAAAUGCAGCGGAAGUGGAAGCAUCAGCCAAACAAUGGCUGGUUAAGUGUAAGGAGCGAUGCACCAAAGAAAAAUAAUUUAUAUUAUUAUAAGAAUAUUAU